rnacentral:rRNA from 1 species
CCUACGGGAGGCAGCAGUGGGGAAUAUUGGACAAUGGGCGAAAGCCUGAUCCAGCCAUGCCGCGUGUGUGAAGAAGGCCUUCGGGUUGUAAAGCACUUUCAGUGGGGAAGAAAGCCUUGGGGCUAAUACCCUCGAGGAAGGACAUCACCCACAGAAGAAGCACCGGCUAACUCCGUGCCAGCAGCCGCGGUAAUACGGAGGGUGCGAGCGUUAAUCGGAAUUACUGGGCGUAAAGCGCGCGUAGGCGGUCUGAUAAGCCGGUUGUGAAAGCCCCGGGCUCAACCUGGGAACGGCAUCCGGAACUGUCAGGCUAGAGUGCAGGAGAGGAAGGUAGAAUUCCCGGUGUAGCGGUGAAAUGCGUAGAGAUCGGGAGGAAUACCAGUGGCGAAGGCGGCCUUCUGGACUGACACUGACGCUGAGGUGCGAAAGCGUGGGUUGCAAACAGGAUUAGAUACCCGAGUAGUC